ACGAACGCUGGCGGCGUGCUUAACACAUGCAAGUCGAACGGAAAGGCCCUGCUUUUGUGGGGUGCUCGAGUGGCGAACGGGUGAGUAACACGUGAGUAACCUGCCCUUGACUUUGGGAUAACUUCAGGAAACUGGGGCUAAUACCGGAUAGGAGCUCCUGCUGCCUGGUGGGGGUUGGAAAGUUUCGGCGGUUGGGGAUGGACUCGCGGCUUAUCAGCUUGUUGGUGGGGUAGUGGCUUACCAAGGCUUUGACGGGUAGCCGGCCUGAGAGGGUGACCGGCCACAUUGGGACUGAGAUACGGCCCAGACGCCUACGGGAGGCAGCAGUGGGGAAUAUUGCACAAUGGGCGGAAGCCUGAUGCAGCAACGCCGCGUGCGGGAUGACGGCCUUCGGGUUGUAAACCGCUUUCGCCUGUGACGAAGCGUGAGUGACGGUAAUGGGUAAAGAAGCACCGGCUAACUACGUG
rnacentral:rRNA from 1 species